rnacentral:rRNA from 1 species
UACGUAGGGGGCAAGCGUUGUCCGGAAUCAUUGGGCGUAAAGCGCGUGUAGGCGGCUUGGUAAGUCCGCUCUGAAAGCCCGGGGCUCAACCCCGGGAGGCGGGUGGAUACUGUCAAGCUCGAGUACGGAAGAGGCGAGUGGAAUUCCUGGUGUAGCGGUGGAAUGCGCAGAUAUCAGGAGGAACACCAAUAGCGAAGGCAGCUCGCUGGGACGUUACUGACACUAAGGCGCGAAAGCGUGGGGAGCGAACAGG